UCAGAAGUGAGCAGAGAAGUAACUCCGCCGGUGGCACCAAGAGCGAAGAAGAAGAACAUGCCCGCUAGCAGCUUUGGAUGCAAGUCUUUGGCUUUGGCCUUCUCCUCCACAUCAUCAGAGUAUCGAAUUCGGAAUCCCAGGUAUGUUCCGUAUCCACCCAUUGCAAACAGCACCACCGCCUGCACAUUUUUUAUUUAUUGAUUGAAAACCCAAACACUAUCACUCAGAAAAAGUUGUAUUCAAAGCAUCAUUUACAGUAGGUACUGACCAUAUUGCCAGGGUGACCCCAAUGGACUAGCCAGCCAGGGAGGUUUAAGGACUUGACAAUCUCCACGAAUGGCCCAAACACUGACCUAAUUGCCCCACCUGUUUGAUUAAUUGAAUUAAAAUCACACGAUAAAUUGGUACUGUUGAUUGCAAAUUGAUUGAUUUUACCUCCAGGGAGAGCAGCUAGGACGAGGAGAGGCAGGGGAGAUACAGAGUAGAGCAAUGUCUCUUCCACUCCUUGUUCUUCUACUUCUACUUCCUUUUCCUCGUCAUCAUCAGUGGAGUAGCUGUUGUUGUUCGGUGGGAAACAGGAAAAGGGUCGG
rnacentral:lncRNA from 1 species